CUCCAUAGAUUUCCACAAGGUGCAAGGCGAGUGUAAUUUACGGAAAGACAAGCUUCCCAAAUCCUGAAUUCUUCUCAAAUUCCCGAAGUGUGGCUUUAAAGCGAGAACACAGUCCACGUUACUUGAUUGCAUUAUCCCCGAGUAGCCACAAGAGGGCGUGUGAGGAACACAAUCGUCUGGAACUGGCCUUCCAGAAACCACUUCCUUAAUGACACAGCAGCAGUAUCUGCAGUUUCCUGUAUUCAGAGCAGGUGGAACAGAUCCUUUGAACGAUCGCUUGCACAUCUUUCUAACAUGCUGCCUACACGGAAGAGGGAGAAAGGGCAGAAUAAUAACAGAUCAGUUUUGGGAUGUUUAACAAAAUUCUUUUGUUACUUGACAGACUCGUUUAUCCUUCCUUGUGCCAUAACAGGAGACAUUUUUGCUUAAGAUAUGAGGAAGAUGAUGACGAUAAUGCAGAACUGGAUUAGACAACAUCAGCAGAGACUCAAUCCUCUCUCUGGAGAACACCUGAGAAAUGGUUGAAGCUUGCUCUGAUCUUGCCUGGAAUCAUGCAUAACAUUUGUUGUGCUUGCAUGUGGAUUCAUUAUAGAGGUUUUUCAAUUUAG
rnacentral:lncRNA from 1 species